rnacentral:rRNA from 1 species
UGCAAGUCGAGCGAGAAAGUCUCUUCGGAGAUGAGUAAAGCGGCGCACGGGUGAGUAACACGUGGGCAAUCUGCCCUCGAGUCUGGGAUAACCCGGGGAAACUCGGGCUAAUACCGGAUACGGCUGCGGGGUCUUCGGGCCCUGUGGAGAAAGAUGGCCUCUUCUUGAAAGCCAUCUCUCGAGGAUGAGCCCGCGUCCUAUUAGCUAGUUGGUGGGGUAACGGCUCACCAAGGCAAAGAUGGGUAGCUGGUCUGAGAGGAUGACCAGCCACACUGGAACUGAGACACGGUCCAGACUCCUACGGGAGGCAGCAGUAGGGAAUUUUGGGCAAUGGGCGAAAGCCUGACCCAGCAACGCCGCGUGUGGGAUGAAGGCCCUCGGGUCGUAAACCACUGUCAGGAGGAAAGAAAAGUCGGCCGGAUAAUACUCGGUCGACCUGACGGUACCUCCAAAGGAAGCACCGGCUAACUCCGUGCCAGCAGCCGCGGUAAUACGGAGGGUGCAAGCGUUGUUCGGAAUUACUGGGCGUAAAGCGCGUGUAGGUGGUCGAGUAAGUCGAACGUGAAAGCCCCGGGCUCAACCCGGGAAGUGCAUCCGAAACUGCUCGACUAGAGUCCCGGAGAGGAAGGCAGAGUUCCCAAUGUAGGGGUGAAAUCCGUAGAUAUUGGGAGGAAUACCGGUGGCGAAGGCGGCCUUCUGGACGGUGACUGACACUCAGACGCGAAAGCGUGGGGAGCAAACAGGAUUAGAUACCCUGGUAGUCCACGCUGUAAACGUUGCGAACUAUGUGUCGGGGGUAUUCACCCCUCCGGUGCCGAAGCUAACGUCUUAAGUUCGCCGCCUGGGAAGUACGGCCGCAAGGCUAAACUCAAAUGAAUUGACGGGG